GACAAACUAGGCCAAGCUAAGACAAACACAGUAAAAAAGGGGGUUAGAAACUAACAAUUAAACUUAGAGAUAAAAUUUAAGUAUAAUCACAAAAGCUAAAAGAUUAAGUUUUCUGUAGAGGUGGAAUUUGUGCAGAAUAAACAAUCUAUUUCUUUUUUAUUUUGACGCCCCGAAAUCUUGCUUUAAAACCGGGAUUAGAUACCCCGCUAUUCAAGAUGUAAAUUUUAAUUUUAAUAUUUUACUUGAGCAUUACGGGUCCUAUAAAUCCUUAUUUAUAGGACGCACCUAAAACUCAAAAAACUUGGCGGUGCCUUAAAUCCUUUCAGGGGAACCUGUCCUGUAAUCGAUAGUCCACGAUUUACCUUUCCUUUUUUUGAAAAAUCAGCCUGUAUACCGUCGUCGCCAGAUUACCUCUAAGAGAGAAGAAGUUAUCAACAAGGGAAGUACAAGGGUAAACUACGAUAAUUUAGUAGUUAAGUUUAUAAACCCUAAACGUCAGAUCAAGGUGCAGCCGAUAUUAAGGAAGAGAUGGGUUACAAUAAAUAAUCAUUAAAUGAAUUUCUUUUUGCAAAAUAAAAGUUUGAAAGCGGACUUGAAAGUAAUUAAAGAGAAACAGUGAGUCUCGGUGAACAUGGCCCUAAGGCGUGC
rnacentral:rRNA from 1 species